rnacentral:rRNA from 1 species
GACAGAGGGUGCAAACGUUGUUCGGAAUUACUGGGCGUAAAGGGCGCGUAGGCGGCACUGUUAGUCAGGCGUGAAAGUCCUGGGCUCAACCUGGGAACUGCGCUUGAUACGGCAGAGCUAGAGGAUGGAAGAGGCUCGCGGAAUUCCCAGUGUAGAGGUGAAAUUCGUAGAUAUUGGGAAGAACACCGGUGACGAAGGCGGCGAGCUGGUCCAUUACUGACGCUGAGGCGCGACAGCG